rnacentral:lncRNA from 1 species
AGGAUAUGUCGGGUUCAUCCGCCCUCAAAUAGGAUAUGUCGGGUUCAUCCGCCCUCAAAUAGGAUAUGUCGGGUUCAUCCGCCCUCAAAUAGGAUAUGUUGGGUUCAUCCGCCCUCAAAUAGGAUAUGUUGGUUUCAAUCUUUACAUUUCUUGACAGGCGCCCACCUGAAUAACGAGAGGAAUACAUUUUCUGUCUUUUCAUUUCUUUUCAAGGUCACCCACCAGUAUAAUGCGGGCAUAUCAUUUUUUGUGUCUUUACCAUUAGGCGCCCACCUGUAUAAUAAGGGAAUACAUUCCACGUCUUUGCCCAUAGGAGACGCAUUUCCUCCUAGGUUUGUUUAGUUUUACCCAUAGGAGAUGCAUUUCCUCCUAGGUUUGUUUAGUUUCACCCAUAGGAGACGCAUUUCCUCCUAGGUUUGUUUAAUUUUACCCAUAGGAGAUGCAUUUCCUCCUAGGUUUGUUUAGUUUUACCCAUAGGAGAUGCAUUUCCUCCGAGGUUUGUUUCAGUUUCACCCAUAGGAGAUGCAUUUCCUCCUAAGUUCAGUUCUACCAAUAGGAGACGCACUUCCUAAGUUUAUUGCACCCAAUAGGAGACGCACUUCCUAAGCAAUGCUUUUACCAGUAGGAGACGCA